rnacentral:lncRNA from 1 species
AGACCGAGUGAAAGUUCUUAAGUAAGCUGCUCUGCUGCUCUUAUUGUAAGUUUCCGCCUUGAAUUCCAAUUCUGAUCUUUAAGAAGGAAGCCUAGAAGAAGGGAGUCCGUAGUCAAAGAGUUGAACUAACAACCUGGACUCUAAUCUACCUCUGGCUCUUCUCCUUAAAGGCAAGGGGCAUCCCUUUCCACCUUACCAACUAAGUCAACAGACCUUGUGCUAACAGGGGUUGGGGCAAGAACAAGUGGAGAGGAUAGAGGUUCAGGUGCCCUUAUAUCUUAGGAGAAUUUUACUGCCUCUGCUUUAGUUGUAGCUUGGCCUCUCUUUGAAGGGAACUUUCAUAACUCCGCAUGCAAAGCUAUAAGGAUCAAAUUCAUUCUAAGGCGAGUUUCAAUUAGUAAUUAGCCAUAUAAGAGGAGAAAAGAGCUGCCCUACCGCUUGCCUCCACCUUUGAUUCUUAAGCUAAAGUAUAAGGUGCUUGUGUUGUCUACGAGAAUGAAUGGACUAAUUGCACUUAGCUCGUGUUGGCUUAGAGAUCAAAAGCUUGAUAAGAAGUUUCAUCAGAUUCAUAAGAUAGAGAAGCAGCAUCUUUACUAGGCUCGGAUUCUAUGCCACGUGCUCAACUCCACAAUUGAAUUCAGAACUUCAAGAAAGAUCAGAUGCAGUUGAAAGAGAGGAAUCCGUUCGAUAAUCAUAAGUGCGCUAACGGUAAGGAAGUGGAAAAUCAUAUCUUACUAGGCGAGAAAUCAAGUCAUAUUGAAAUGAGUGAGUUGCGCGGUAUCGUGGAUAAUUGCCUGUUCUUGUUGCAGUAAUUAAAGGCACAGGACUUAGGGAAGAAAAAGCAGAAUGAGCUCGGUAUUAUAGAAAGAAGUAACCAAAAAGCUUGUAUCUAAGGGCCAGCAUACAAGUAUAAACAACUACGAGGGGUGAGUGAAAAAAGCAUGAAGUUUCAGGUCGAGGAAGAAUCAAUUCCAUGCUUUGAUGCGGGUGGAGGAG